rnacentral:rRNA from 1 species
GGGGAUAUUGCACAAUGGGGGAAACCCUGAUGCAGCGACGCCGCGUGAGUGAAGAAGUAUUUCGGUAUGUAAAGCUCUAUCAGCAGGGAAAGAUAAUGACGGUACCUGAGUAAGAAGCCCCGGCUAACUAC